rnacentral:antisense_RNA from 1 species
UGUGGGAGCUGGCUUGCCAGCGAUAGCGGAGUGGCUGUCGACAUCUAUGUUGAAUGUGUCACCGUCAUCGCUGGCAAGCCAGCUCCCACA